AGAGUUUGAUCCUGGCUCAGGACGAACGCUGGCGGCGUGCCUAAUGCAUGCAAGUCGAACGCAGUGUCUCUUGAGACACUGAGUGGCGCACGGCUGAGGAACACGUGGGCAUCUGCCCUGCCGUGGGGGAUAACGGAGCGAAAGCCUCGCUAAUCCCGCAUACGUUCCCGCUUUCGGGCGGGAGGAAAGCCUUCGGGCGCGGCGGGAGGAGCCUGCGGCCCAUCAGGUCGUUGGUGUGGUAACGGCGCACCAAGCCGAUGACGGGUAGCUGGUCUGUGAGGACAACCAGCCAGACUGGGACUGAGAAACGGCCCAGACUCCUACGGGAGGCAGCAGCAAGGAAUUUUCCCCAAUGGGCGCAAGCCUGAGGGAGCAACGCCGCGUGCGGGAUGAAGGCCUUCGGGUUGUAAACCGCUGUCGUAGGGGAGGAAGGCUCCGUGAAGAACGGAGUUUGACCGAUCCUAGGAGGAAGGGCCGGCUAAUCUCGUGCCAGCCGCCGCGGUAAUUC
rnacentral:rRNA from 1 species